rnacentral:lncRNA from 1 species
AUUAUGGAGGCAAAGAACGAACCGAGAAAGAGUUUGAGGCAUUAGCCAAAGCAUCAGGCUUCAAGGGCAUCAAAGUUGUCUGCGACGCUUUUGGUGUUAACCUUAUUGAGUUGCUCAAGAAGCUCUAAAAGACCAUAAAAUGUCCCUUUAAAGAUGAUUUUAUAUGUAAACAUUAUCUCAUAUGUAAACUCUAAAAAUCUAUUACAAUUAACAUAAAUAUUUAAAUAUGGUUUACCUUCACAAAUUACAACAAUUUAAUAAGCUCUUUCUUUACAGCUCAUUUUGAAAAGAAAACAAAAAAAACUUUACAACAACUUGUGAGACUUGACUUGACCUAAUUUAUAUUUUUAAUCCAUUUAACUAAAUAUCUUAAGGAUAUUUUUCAAAACCAUUUCUCAUCCCUCUCUUAGUUGGCGGUAGUUAUGACCAAUUUGUAUCAUUGUUGAUAUGAACGAAAUUUAUUGAAGGUCUAUCUACUCUCAUUAUCAAUAUGACUCAUAAUAGACUUUAACUGAAUACAUCCACUGACAGUUGUUUGUUGAAAAAAUGUAUAAAUGUAUAAAUGUCCAACAUUGCUUAAAAAAAUUGGAUACAAAUAUAUAAAUGUCCAACAUUGCCUAAAAAAUUGGACAAUGGUUCAUAGUCAUACUAUAAAAAUAACCAAAAUGAUUCUGAAUACGAAUGAGUAUGAAGCUUGAUUUAUAGGGCGUCCCAAAUUAAAAUUGUUAUCCGGUUUACUCUAGUUCUUUAUUUUAAAAAACUGAAACUUUUAAAAAGUUUCAAAAUAUUAUAAAUAUUUAAAUUUUAUUAAAACUUAAAUAUUAUAAUUUUUUAUAAAGUUUAACUUUAUAAAAAAAAUUAAAUAUUUAAAAAACUAAGACUUUUAUGAAGUUUAAACAUUAUAAAUAUUAAACUUAUAAGAAUUUAUAAGAAGUUUCAACAUUAUAAAUAUUUAAUUAAAAAUAUUAUUAAAAAGAAAAUUAACUAAAUGCUGUUUAAUUUUACGAGACGGGGUUAUAUGGUGGGACGGAUUUGGGUCGAUAUUAAUACGGAACAGUAUACCACUGGUGAAUCCUAGAAUUAAAAUUAAAAAUAUAAUUAUAUAAUUUUAAACACUAAACAAACCAAAACACUAUUUAACAAAACAAGAAUAACUUAAAUUUAAAAUUUUUAGUUCAAAAAAAUUGACCCGCAAUAUACCGCGGGGUAAAUUUUUUUGAUACAAAAUAAUAUCAAAUUAUUACAAUAGUCCAUGAUUAUAAAUGCUUGCCAAUAUUAACACUAUAUCAUUUCUACACCUACAAAUCUUCUAAGUACCUUAAUACAAAUCAACACAUUUAAGUAACAAAUACAACAACUCAAAAACAAUAUUUAUAUAUUUCAACUAUAUUAAUUAUAACAUAAAAUAAUGAAAUGAGAAAUUAUUUUUUUAUAUUAUGAAUUUAAAAAUACAAUAAAUUAUAAAUUAUAAUAAAUAUAUAAAAUAUAUUUUUGCUCCGCGGUGUACCGCGGGUUAAAUCCUAGUUAGUAUUAUUAUUAACACUAUAAUUCACUAAAUAUGAAUAUGAAAUGACUUGAAAUUUCACAAUUCAUUCUAAACAUUAAGUAAAUUAUAGCUCAAAGUUAUUUCUAAAUCCAUGUGUUUGAAGACAUCUGAAUUGUGGCAGCCAAACUUUUAACUGUAUGAUUGUUUCAUACAUGGGCACUUUUUUUUUUUUUUUUUUUUUGAUAACUCAGGUGAUCUUAAAGGCUUUCUAGGCCCAAAGACUAAUCCUGGGGUCCGGGGAAACCAUGUUAGAAUUCGAACCCCGGUGGUCAAUGCUACUCGAACCCAGGUGGCGGAGACUUUUCUCUCCUUUACCAUUGGACCAAGGCGACUUGGUUUACAUGGACACUCUUCAGAUCGAUAAAAACAAGUUUUCAAAAUUGGUUUUAAUGUACGGAAUGUUGCGGUUGCAAUUUGAUGCUAAUUAAUCGGAGAGAGUAUUUAUGAGACUAGAUUACUCGAUCCCACACAUGAUUGAACCAUGUGGACUACUUGCUUAGUUUUUGUGGGGAACAUUUUUUUUUUUGUUAUCUGAAAUUAAAUAUAACUUAAAAGAACCAUUCCUGAGGAACAUCUACGAUGUGUCAAAUGUAUACUGAGAUUUUUCAAAUACAGAAGAUUUAAAUCAUCGGUAUAACUAUUAGUAUUGUGAACAUCAUCAACAUUAAUUGAUAGGAAGUAGAAAGUAUCUAUAAGGUCAAUAGUCAACGUUCUACAAAAAAUACAAGUCCCAAAACAGACCCAUUAGAACAUUAUUAUUCCAAGCCUCUGUUUUUUUGAACUGCUUAGGGAUUAAGUAGGGCUGGGCACAAGCCAGGUACCCGGGUUUUUGGUUAUACCCGUGACCCGACCCACCCCGUCCGGGUAUCUACAAAAUAGACCCGUACUUGACCCGCCCUAAACAAGUACUUGCAGUAACGGGUACUUGUCAAAAUUUGACAAACCUGCGAGUUACCCGCCUUGGCUUGGUACCCGUAAUAUUGAAAGUUUUAUGGGCUUCGAGUGGUAAAAGCCUACAAAUUUUGUUAUCUUAAAUGAAUCAUUUUUCUCUUUAUAUAAGGAAAAGUUUCUAGUUGUCGUACAGCUUUUGUCGAUGUGGGUUAAAGGUAACUAACAAAAAAUUAACUUAGUAUUUUGGGCUUCGUUUAUGGGCCUUUUUCUGAAUAAGGUAAUUAAAACAAGUCCAAUUUGUGUGUUUGUUUAUUAAAAAGGCAAAUUCAAAGAUUUUUUUUCUCUGGAAACUCAGAUAUGGAAUAUAUUUUCACAUUUUGGCACUAUCAAAACAGGUAACGGGUAGAAACGAGGCAAGUAACCGAAUUAUUUUUAGUACUUGAUCCUUGCCUUGUACUUGCGGGUAUUCAAAAUUACUUGUUACUCGGCUUGUCUAUUACGGGUACUUGCUUUUUCAAGGCGAAUACGGGGUAAGUAGCGGGUACGGGGCAAGUAACGGGUAUUUGUGCCCAGCCCUAAUUAAGAGGAAAGAGCAAUGCAGAUAAUCUUGCUUUCUCCGUUAACCUUCUGUUUAAGCCGAUAACAAAGAACAUGAGAAGAGUGAUCUUCCGAUUAAAAGUGAAGAAACAAACACAUUAUGCAACUUCUUAAGCCAUCUCAUUCCUUUGAAACACUAUCAAUAGCAAAAAGCCUAAGACAUUAAAGGUAGCAACUUGGGAAGCAAAAUUCUCAAUAACUUGUCAAGAAAUCUACAAAUACAACUUCAAAGCGUAAUAAACAAUCUCAUACUAAGGAAAUGUCAUUACGUCACAUUACUUCUUCAUAACCUAAACAUAAUCUAUUAGUCUACCUUACUGAUGAAGUCAUAAGAAAGAGCUCUAAUCCUUCGAUGCAACCAGAUUUUACUUUGUCCUACACAAAUUCCACGAAGUAGAGUCAUAAGCAUUGCAAUGUGAAGUCGAUAUAGUCCACUCUGCACAAGGAGCAGGCUUAUCGCACACUGCAUACAGAGCCGGCCACAAGUACAAGCUGGGCAAGCCCAAGCUUGCGCCCCCGAAAAUAUAUAAAUUUUGUAGGCCCAAAUAUUUUGUAACUAUUUUGUAGUCUAGUGGUAGCGUCUUGUUUGUUUUGGCCCUCAUGUCUUGGGUUCGAGUCUCCAUCUUUGUUGUUUUUUUUUACUUAAAAUUUCACUUUUUAGAAAAAAAAAAAAAAAAUUCUAGAAAACUCAAUUAACCUAUCCAGUUUUAUGUUUGGUUUAAUCAAAAUUUUUUUUUUUUUUUAAACAUGUGAAAGUAGCCUUUUUUUUGUCGCUUAUAGUCUUAUAAAAUAUAGGGACAGCUCUGACUGCAUAGCAAGACAAACAUCAAACACAAAGUUAUUCCAUUUCAUAUAUCAAAUCCACAAAGAAAAAGUGUUAAAAUUACCAAAUCACAAUGGCUUGGAUUAGGAGUUGAUCCAAAUGGAAAAUUCAAACAUAAAUGUCUUGGAUGUGGAUAAUCUCUACAAGCCACCUAUCAAAUCAUAUGAAAUAAAUUCCAUCAGAAAUAUCAAAUUUUGAAAUAAACCCUAAUUUAAAAACCUUAAAUUUCAAAGCUCAAACCUGGCCUGUUUCAUGGAUAAUAGCUAAAUCUUUAUCACCUUCAUGAUGAUCAUCAUCGGUAAAGGUGAGUUUUUUAACGUUAUAUUUAUUCAUAUAUUUAUCAUAUGCAUGAAAACAAAAUGUAGUAGAUUAUUUAUUUGUGAAUUUCAUGUCGAGCAACCACCAAAAGGAUACAACUCAUUUCUAUUUAUUUUUACGUUAUAAUUCAUUUAGGUGUCAAAGGUAACAUGUUACAUCCAUAAACACUAUUAUACUUAUUCUUUUAUGGAUAAUAUAAGGCACGUUCUGUGAUCAUGACGUAGAACACGGUAGUAGGUAGGACUUUUUAAAAAAAAAUCUCAAUCAGACUUUGAAAAUUGAGAUACCGUUUUUUUUUUUUUUUUUUUUUUUUGUCAAUGAUACCGUUUUUUUCUUUCAAAUUGCUAUUAUAGACUUUUUCAGAUUAAAGCUAUACGUCAAAACCUGUCAUGUUUUAAUUUUACUAUGAUUAAGAAAAUUAAUCAUCAAAGUAAACUACUAUGCAAGGGUCAUUACUUCGAUGAUAUAAGUACACUGGAUAAUAACUUGAACUGAUAAUUUAAGUAGAUCAUGAUCUAUUGGAUAACUUCGUUGAAAAAUAGUAUUUUAUUUUUCAGCUGUCCUUUUUAUGUAAUACUAUUGAUCUUCAUAAACCUUAUUAGAUGUUUAUGUUUUCGUAAAUUAUAAAACUUUCUAUACAAAAGUCAUUUCUAAGCAUUGACAGAUUACUCUAAAACUGGAAACUGGUGUAUAUGACAGACAGCAGAACCGUUCCUAGAAGUAUAAAGACCAGGUGCUAAAAAGAUUAUUCAAAUCAUAUAAAACAAAACUUAAGUAAAAAUAACCACUAUCAUCCUAAAUAGAUAAAAACCUAGAGUAAAAAUCAAAGAUUAAUUCUAAAUCAUAUUUUUUCUUUCUUUUGCUGUUACAAAAUUAUCAACCAAGCUUUCAAAAUUAAAAUGUUUAACCAACUCCCUUUUGAUAGAUAAAAUAGCCAAGUCACUUAAUCUUUUUUGUUACAUACUUGAGAUUAGUUUUACUUUCAAUUUUAUAUUCUAAAUAAAAAUAAAAAUCUAAAGGCUAGUAUUAGAUGAAACAACAUUAUUAUGAAGAAAGUUCUUACCAAUUGAUUUUUUUUUUUUUUUCUUUUCUUACCAAUUGAUUACGAAAACAAAACGCCGUCGAUUGUAAUUGUAAGUCAACAAUGAUUAAGAAACUUACUAGUGUUUGGUUUUCUAUUAGACUUUUAACUAAUUGAAAAAUAUAUUUGUUUAACCCAAAAUUGUCACAUUUUUCUACCUAAGAAAUUAAUAGCCUUUGAUUUAUUUUUGCAGAAAAAGGCCGUAGGCCAAAGUUUAUUUUCUAAUGCCUUAGGCACGGGCAUUGACAGAUUACUCUUAAACUAUCUCUGGUAUAGUCUCAUUCGAGGAUUGUCAUAACACGAUGCUCUUUAUUGAAUUAAAUAUUACUUUAUAAUGUCUUUCAUAUAUAAAACAUUUCCGUAUUUUAACGUAUCCAUUUCAACGGAAAAAAAAAAGCAUUAAUAAAUUUUAAAUAUUAAAUAAAUGUUGUACUUUAAUUUAAAGAUUAAAUUUUUAUUAAAAAACCAAUUUCUUCGGUGAAUAAACUUAUCAAUUUCAACGGACAUAAAUAAGUAAAUGUACUACUUUUAUUUUGUGCAAAAAAUCCAUAUUUACUUAUUAGUCGAAACUAAUAUUAAAGAGUUGUACCUGAGAGACUUGUGGUCCUAUAACAGUUUGUGUUUGUUAGUUUAAGGCAGUGAGAAGUGUUGGAGAUGAUGUGUUCACAAUGAACAUCUUUCUAAGGAGUAGGUGAGAUGCGUCUCUUUUGUAACACGAAAUUCUACCCUAUCACAACGUUACACGUGUCUCGUUUGAACAGAAUCCAAUUGUUUUAUCAUUUUAUAAGAAGAUCAAAUUAUUGUCAAUUUAUUUGUCUUGUGGUUGUGGUUGUGGUAGGUGAGAAAUAUCAAAUAUUUUUCUUGGUUAAACAAUCAAGGGUAAUUAUCAUAUAUUAGUAUGAAUUCGUUUUGAUUUGUUUUAGUCACAAAAAGAAAUCACCUUACUCAAUUCAAUUGCAAAGUUAUUUGAAGAGUACAUACAUAAAAUCUUAAAGGUUCAUAAAAUGCAAUAAAUAUGUAUGUAUGUAUUCGUGAUUGCUAUUCUUAUUGAGUUAUUGUUAAUGUACGUUAGAGCAUAUAAGAAAAUUAAAAGUGAUGAUCUUGAAAGUGAAGUACAUCGAAGCUGCUUUAGACCAUAUUUAUCGGGGCAACUAUGGCCCUGUUUUAAGAGUUUUUAAAUAUUAAAACUGAUGAAAAGUUGGGUUUGGGCUAGGAACGCGUUCUCAUGCGAGAACAGUUCGGAGCCAUGUUCGUGUAUAUGUGGCAGGCCGUCAUUGGUCAGGAGAUGUGGAAAUGGAAAAAGUCUAGGCUUUUCUUUCUUUCCUUCUCUUUCCUCUUACAUUAUUAAUAUUUUUUCUCUCUUAACAUCAAUCUUCAAAUAUGCACUCUUGCAUAUGUCCUGGGAGUUCUCUUUCACAAUUCAAACCAUGUUUUAUUGAUUUAACUUAGAACAUUCUAUAAAAAUAAAAAGUCGUAUAGAAAAUUAAGAUGGUGUAAAGGUAUUACGAUAAAUAAUUUUUAAAAUAACUUAAGUAUUACGUAUAUGCCGUGUUCAAAAAAUCGCUAGGCGCUAGUCGGGCGGUGAGGGUGCGCCUAGCGCCUAGCAAGAAAAUCGGGGAUUACACGGGGAUUAAUCGGGGAUUAGUUUUAGGGCUAUUUAAUAUUUUAAAAACAUAUUAAUCCAUUAUAAUUAAGUAAUUUAUAUAAUAUUGUUUUUAAAAUUGUAUUAAACACACGAAAACAAGAUUUAAAUUCAAAUUUAUGAUUUUUAUACAAAUUACGAACAUAAGUAGGACGUUUUGAAUUUUAGAUGAAAAAAAAAGUAAAAAAAAAAAAAAAUGGGCUAGGCGCUGUCUAGGCGAUUUUUCUCACCGAUUUGGACAAAAUCGCCGCGGUGCUCCUCCGAUCAGUGCCUAGGCGGCCGCCUAGGCGACUAGGCGGCCGAAUUUUAGAAUAGGGCGUAUAUGUACCGUAAAAGAAAAAAGGAAUAAUCUUGUGCCGAACUCAAUUUCAUAAUAAAAAAACAUAUUAUAUGAAUUUAAUUAAAAGCAUAUUUAGGUAAAACUUUUCAAUCCUUUCUUAUUUUCUUUUGAAGUAGCUGACAUUCUAUGAAAACAAAAUGUCAACGAAAUGAUUUAACAAUGAAAAAAUUGAUACGAUUUUAAGCAAAAACUGACAAUCAAUUAAGAACUAGUGUGACGUCUCGGUCCUACUCACCAAACUAUCUGUCCGCUUGCAUUGCACAGUCCUCUCAAGUCUCAUUUUUUUCCUUUAUUAAUCUCUUUGUUUAUCGAUUAUAAUCUGAAGACGAUAUUCGAUUAAAAGUUUGAUCGCUCUAUAAUUUAUAUUUAAAACGUUAGGUUUCAUAUAGAAUCAAAGUUGUAAUGAAAGUUGUAAUGACGAAAAAAAAAAAAUAUGACGACCCAUAAAAUACUUUAGACUGUCAAGUCACGUGUAUUGACCAUCCACCCACACAUUCUUAGUUAACAUAAUUUCAUUUUUUUGUCCUAAAUAUAUCUGCUAAUUACAAUUUUUUUUUCGUUAGAAGAUUUUCUAUGAUACAAAAGAAUUUACAAAGUCCUAUACAAAACCGGAUAAACCGAAAUUACAAAUUUUAGUAUCGUACUUUUUUCUAAAUUAGUUUUAUUUAAAUGGACAUAUCUUACAAAUUCACAAAUACAGAAUGAGGAAGAAUUAGGUUAAACAAGGGAUAUUUUUUGGGAUCAAAUCCUCGUGGUUACCGGUUGCAGAUGUCGAUCAAGACUCCAGUGAACACAAGGCUCGCUAAUUUGCGAGAUGACGACGACUUCGAGCUCCUUGACCGGAGUGUUCUGUUACCUUCUCCGAGCUGAUCCGUCGAAAAACCAAACCUUCAACAAGCCUUCCGAAAAAUCAAACCUCCAAUUAGCAGGAUCUCCAUUGACAAAUCUCCGACCUAGCAAAACGCCAAACUCAAAUCCAAUACCUGACAAGCGUUACCUGCUCCUGCUUCUUUUUUGAGCCAAGAACACCUUCAAUCCAGUCCGGUGAAUGCUAAUCGAUGCCACUAAAGAGAGAUGAUGGCUUACUAUCUCUCAAAAGCCAAAACCUACGGCAAUCCAUAUAAAAUUCGAGGAUUUACAGUUAAUCACCGAGACACGCAACGAAACUUUCCAAACCCUCGACGAUUUAAAUUUAAAUAAAAUUUAUAAAAAAUAAUAUAGUACAACAUAUAAUUUUGUAUGCUUCUAUAUAGUAUAACAUAUUAGUUAUCAACACUAUUCACCAUUUAAAAAGUUAAUGUCCGUUAAAUCUGAUGUUUUAAAAAAUAGAAUGGCAAAGUUAAAGUAAUUUUUUUUUUUUGAACACGUAGUUAAGUUAAAGUAAUUUAAUUUUAAGAACCACGUAGCAAAACAUGUGAGGGGUAAACAAAAUGUUUAUCCGAAACAAUAAAAGAAUACUUAAAAAAAGAAAAACAUCACAUUCUUUAUCCAGCACCUUGUGACUUGUGUGUUUCACUUAUGGACUUUUAUGUCUUUUUAUUAUACCUUAUGGUUAUUCUCUUGUUUUGAAAUUUAAUAUGCUAUUUUCUUAAUUUCUUUUAUCAGAUUUGCUUAUUCACUUAAAUCACCCAAAUUUUAUUUACUCUUUUUCUGUUAAUUCAAGAAAAUCUGUUAUAUCUAUAUAUACAUUUUUGGAUCAUAAUUAGCAAAUAAAUCCUGAAGUUGAGAAGUAUUUACAAUGACAUGCCAUUAGCAUUAAUUAUUUAGAUUUAUUUUAUUUAAGUAAAGAUUUUGAAAUCAAAUAUGUUCUCAACAAUUUACCAAAAAUCUCUACUCAAUCUUUUUAAAAAUCUCGACUUAGUUAACUUCUGAUUUUUAUCUGCAAAAAAAAUAAAAUAAUUGUAACGAGUGAUAUAAAAAUCGAGAAUGUUGAUACUACAAUUUCUUCUACUUCUUUUUUUUAUAUAAUGAAAAUUAUUUUUUAUGGAUAUUUUCUUAAAACUCUAAACAAAACAAAGGGUUUCAAAAGAUAGCUUCUCUUUUGGCGAGUCGACCCGCAAACCCGCAACUCUCUACAGGCUUAUCCGCAUGAACCUGCGACCCGUAGUGGAUAAAAAUAUUAUUCAAAAAAAUAACAAAUGAUGUUUAAUUUUACGGGACGGGGUUAUAUGGUGCAACGGGUUUAGAUCAAUAUUAAUAUUAAACAAUAUACUAUGGAUGAAAUCCUAGAAUUAAAAAUCAAAAUUUAAUUAUAAAAUCAGAAACACUAAACAAAAUAAACAAUAUUAACAAAACAAAUACAAUUUAAAAUUUUGCAAAAUAAUUUUUUAGUUAUAAAAAAAUCGACCCGCGGUGUACCGCGGGGUAAAAUCUAGAUUUGGAAGUUUAAGGAAGGAAUUUUUUUUAAAAAAAAUAAUAGCUCCGCGGUGUACCGCAAGAAAAAUCUUUCUCCUAAACUGAGGCAAGAAGAAGAAGAAAACCAAAUGUCGUUUAAGUGUAUAUAUAGAUAUACCAUUUAAACCUAAAACACAAUUCAUAUACUCAAAACUAUUAAUAUAGACAUAUAGAUGGUACAUUUAUAAAAUAGGUCAAAAUAUUAUAGUAUACUCUCUAUUAAUAAACAAAAAUAAUUAUAUUUAGAUUUUUUUAAAAAUAAUUAUAACCCCGCGGUGUACCGCGGGUUCAAAUCUAGUUAUAAAAAUAAAACCUAAUAGUACACCUAUGAGGCUAUGACAAACCUAAACAAAUUUUAUGAUAAACUCAUUGCAGCUUGGUUAAAAAUAAGGGAUUAUUGUGAAAAAUGCCACUUUUGGGCCAAAACUUGUGGCAUUGCCACUUUCAGAAUGGGCUUUUGGAUCUGCCAUUUUUAGGUUUGUAAAAAGACGUUUCUAUCCUUAUGGUGUUAAGCGGGAGGGCAGCGAUUUUGAAUCGCGUUGUUGGUUGCAGCAACUCACCGGCUGUUCACCGAUUUGACAGUCGGAACUGUAUAAUCUCGCAUUUGUGCGGCUGAGAUUUCGUAGGGUUUUAAUUUUUUGUGGAUCUGUUCAAGGGUGACCUAAAAAUGAGGAUAUUAUAUAGUUCCUGGGUCAUGGUGGACAAUGGCAAGAACUUUGAGCCAACUGAAGUAGUUUACAACAACUGGUCGCGAACACAAGUAGGAGGACGUCAAUUACGAAAUGGAUCCGCAGGUGAAGCCUUAUGCUUAGUUUUCUGGUAUAAUAUGUUGAUGCAUUUGUAGGUGGCAUUUGUUUUCUCUGUCUUAGUAUUGUAGUGACAUAGAUAGGGGAUAAUGGUCAGUUCCUUUGUAUAUUGAUAUGUUUAAGGUUAUCUCGACCCUUUUUUGCUAGUUGGUACAAUAUUCGGUUCCAACUGUUGAUGCAAUUGUGUUUUAUGCUUCACUGUUGUUUACUAUGAUGGAAAGUACUGACCUGCCUGUUACAACUUGUCAUUAUGUAGGCAGCGGAUGUGCCUGUCUUUGUCAUUGCUGGUAGCUGGGAAUGCUCUGAGAAUGGUAUAUGGGAUUUCUACAUUGCUAAAGAAUGUUAUGCGCAAAGUAUAUCUAUGAAUCGAGAUAUGACCUUCGAGGAGCUGCUGUUGACUGUGCGUACAGAGUUUGAGCUUGAUGGCCUCGGUUUGAAACCGAAGUUAAGCUAUUGGCUUCCAAGUCAGCUUUCUGUGUUUGCAGUGAAUUCAAGACCUCCAGUCAUUAUCACCAGCAACAUGAGUUUAAGGAACUUCUUGAAUGUAAAAGAAACCGCAGAGCAUCUCAAUUUGUUGCUCUCUCUUGAACCUGAAAGUGCUGAUGCUGGUUCGAGCAGGCUGAGGGAACAUUGUUCUGUUCCUGCAGCAAAAGCGAAAGAUAUUUGUGGCGACGAUACUGGUGCUGCUUAUGCUGCGAUGGUGCCAACUAAUGCAGAAAUGCCUCAGAGACAAAACAUAGGUAGCAACAGUGGCAGUCGAGUUAGGAAAAGGCUAUUUGGGGACAAUGACGCGUCUUGUUCAAAUGAAGCAAUCAGGCUUGUCUCUGUUGAUACUAGUGAUACUCACAUGAUCAGACUUGCAGAUCCUGAUACACCAUCUCUGUCAGCUCAAUCUGAAGACAGCAAUGCAGCUGCGGCUGCUGUUGUGCAGCAUAUUUCUUCUGAUGACGAUGAUGAUUUCUUAACAGAGAUUGAUACAAUUGAAAAAGGGGAGAAGGAUCUUCGGAUUUGUAAGGGUAAAGGGAAGUGUGAAGACAGUGGGGAUGCUAUGUUAAAGAGUAAAAAUGUUGAUUAUUUCACAGAUGGGGUGGUUUGCUCUGGUUCAGAUGAUGAUCUCUGCGAUGAGGAUUACUGGACUUUGGCAUUUGAUAGACAAUAUCAAUUUGAUUACUCCCAAGCUCUUUUGUUGUCGGCCGAAGUUGAAGCAGAUGCCAUUGCCCCAAGUGUUGAAGCACCAGUACUUGCUCCUGAAGAAGAGGAUAUAGGCACAACGGUCUUGGCGUACAUUGAAACUGAAAGAGGAAACCGUGAUGCUGUAGAAGAUAACCUUUUUGGCAAUGAUUCAAGUGCCUUGUAUGCAAACCAAGAAGGAGGGUAUGAUUCCCCUCACAUGGGUCAACUUCAGGUUUCUGGUUCCCCUGAAGUUGGUGUUAGCCAGGAAGGAGGAGUCACUGAUUCCCCUACAUUUUCUGUUGGAAACGAGGGAGGAGGGGAAUCUUUCCCCGCACUCUCUCUUGGUAACCAACCAAGAGGGGAAUCCUCUUCUGUAUUUGAUGUUGCGCAGGAGGGAGUAACUUUUGAUGAAUUGGAUGGCGACUAUACACAAAGACGUGAUGCUGAACCUGUCAUUGAUGAUGUCUAUUCGCUGGCAAACACAGAUGGGUGUGCAACUGUCUCAGCUGAAGAAGAUGCAAUAUACAUUGGACGCGUGUUCAAAGAUAAGGUGGCUUUUCAAAACACUUUGGCUAUAUAUGCCAUCAAGAGGUUAUUUCAUUUCAGGCAGACUAAAUCUGACCCAGAGCGGGUCAUUUGCGUUUGUAUUGAUAAGCGUUGUCGCUGGAGAGUAUUUGCUCAUAGGGUCUCGGAAUUCUCUGAAAAUUUUGCAGUACGCACAGCUACUCUUACACACACGUGCUCAAUUAUUGCUAGGUCGCAGUAUGAGAAGCAAGCAUCUGCUAGAGUGAUUGCAGAGGUUUUGAAAGGGAAGUAUGCUAACGGAUUGCCUGGGCCACGCGCUGUUGAUAUUCCGGACAUAGUGCUAGCUGAGCUGAAAGUUUCUGUUACAUAUAUGAAGGCAUGGUAUGCAAAGGAGGCUGCUAUUAUGCAAAGUCGUGGAAGUGAUGAAAAGAGCUACAAGCUCCUAGCAGUAUACAUGUACUUGUUGCAGAAAGGGAAUCCAGGGACAAUAUACAGACUUCAAUAUACUGGUGGUGGAUUGGUACCAAAGCAGUUCAAGUACCUUUUCUUUGCUCUUGGAGCAAGUAUUGCUGGUAUUAAGUACAUGAGGAAGGUUGUACUUGUUGAUGGUACUGCUAUAAAGGCAAAGUUUAAGGGAGUGCUUAUCGCUGCUAGCAUGCAAGAUGCUAACUUUCAGGUUUAUCCAAUAGCUUUUGCAAUUGUUGAUGCAGAGAAUGACUUGGCAUGGACCUGGUUCUUCACGAAACUCAGCCAGCUCAUCCCUGAUGCAGAGGAUGUAGUGCUUGUUUCUGAUCGCCACAGGUCUAUAUAUGCAGCUAUUCGGAAAGUGUAUCCGCUGGCCUUUCAUGGGGCAUGUGCUGUUCACAUUGAAAGAAAUGUAAGGGCAAAGAAUCCAGGGACAGGCCUGUCCUACCUUGUUGGUAAUGCUGCCCGUGCAUUUAACGCUGGGGACUUUAAAGAAAUGUAUGCUGAGAUCGUCAAGCAAAGCAAGAAAUGUGCUGCCUAUUUGGAUGCUAUUCCACUUGAACAUUGGACUCAAGCGUAUUGCCCGGCAAAACGCUAUAAUAUUAUGAGCAGUAACAUCGCUGAGGCUCUCAAUGGUGCUCUGGCCAAAAUUGUUGAACUACCAAUUGUUUCUAUGGUAGAGUCAAUUAGGACAAAGUUGAUGGAGUGGUUUUGUUUCAGACGGGAGAAAGCAAAGAAACUUAUUGCUUUGGGAGAGACUAUCACACCUAAGGUGAACGAAUUUCUCUUGCGCCACCACAAGGAUUCUGCAGGUUUACCUGUUAAAGCUGUCUCAGAAUGGAGUUUUCAAGUUAGUUCAGGCUUAAAAAAGUACUAUGUCGACCUAGCUCUUAAGACCUGCACCUGUUUGCAGUUUCAAAAGCUGGAAUUGCCUUGUUGCCAUGCAUUGGCUGCAGCAAGAACAAAGGGAGUCGAAGUUACUAUACUGAUUGGUUCACAUUACAGGCUUUCAGUCUUUCGCGAUGCAUAUGAAAUGUUCAUAUUCCCUGUGCCUAAUGAAAGUGACAUAGAUAUUCCCGUUGAUGUACAAGAAACCGAAUUCAUGCCACCGGAGAACAAAAAUGGUCCAGGGCGUAGAAGGAAGAGGAGGAUCCCUUCCACCGGGGAGUACACGGUAAAACACUGAAUUCGUUGGCAGUAAUGAAAAGAAUUUGACGGGAACUGUAAGUAACUGAUGUUACUUUACUGCAGGGGACGAAGAGGCGCAAGCAUAGACCGCAUAAAUGUACCACAUGCAAUGAAACAGGGCAUAACAGAGCUACUUGCUCUAACAUCCCACGUUAAGGUAUGAAAACUGUGUAGUAAACUAGUUGGCUGUUGUGAAAUUUAUGGAAUUACACAACUAAACUGCAUUUAAAAAACAUGUGGCAGGUGUUGUAAGGGGGAAAAACUUUUUGGGACAUAAGGAGCAACUAGAAUUUGUAGGGGUAACGCUUGUUUUUUGGGUAGGCCAGACAAUGGCCAAGAGACAAAUGGAUUCAGCAGCGAUGGGGGCACCAUCUUUUGGGUUUUCAGUAACAAAUGGCUGAGAAGAAGCCGCUGUAUAGCUAUCCGGUAAGCAGCUCUGGGGAAGAGCCUUCAAUUAACAAGUUGAAGUAUGUGUAGUCAAUGUAUAUAGCAGUGCUGGGUAUAUCCAGUUUGUAAAAUUAAGCUGCUGCUGAUGAAAAACAAUUGAUGUCUCGAUUAACUAGUAAUGAAAAAUGCUUCUUAUGGUGUAUGUGACGAUUUGAUCCAAUAGGCAACUAGAACGCAUAAGAAAUUAACAUCAAGCAAUGUACCUUAAUUUGGAAUAUAUAUUACAUUACUGAAACAGAUAAGCAAAUUACAUUAAGCAAGUUCUCUAGCAUCGGAAUAUAUAUUACAUUACUGAACAAGAGGACCAAAUUGCAGGGAAUUCUGACAAGACUUAACUGGAAACAUACAACAUGGCUGACACCAAGAAGCAAAUUAUAUCACAUAUGUACAUUCAGGAUUUAGCAUAAUUCCUGAAACCGAAUUGCGUACAUGUAAACAAAGCAGCGACGACAGAGAUGAAGGACAGAGUAGUUGUUUAGGAAACAAUGAGGGAGCCCUCCACCAAACCGAAACGAAUUGUUAAAGCGGCCAGCCCUUGGCAAUCUGAAACCUGCAGUUUGUGUUAGCACCAUUUCAGCAAUGUCGACUGCUUCCUCCAUAUUACGCAGGAGACUGAAGAACUGCUCCAUGACAUGCAUACCAGUGUCAAAAGAACCUGAGCAAACCAGAACCAAUCCUAGCGCAAACCUAGCAUACAUACUGUCUACAUAAGCUUCACAGAGGAGUUCAACUGAACGUUCGGAAGGUCCUUCUGCCACCGCAAGGCGUAAGCCUUCGACAAACUGCGCAGCUGGGUUCCCAGAAUCCAAACAACGCAAAAAAAAGGGUCGGAACACAGAAUCUUCAUUACACAGCUGAGUAACAAAGACAAACUCAUCAAUGUCGACAUCCUUAAGAACACUCGCGUCGAAGACAAGAGCCAUGAAUUCAGGUCCUGAAGCUAUCAAAGCGCCUAACUCUCGAAAACCAUGCUGUGAGAGACGCCUGACAAUAUCCAGAAGAAGCGGAUGUGGAAUUAUAUUCAUUGGUGAGAUGUUGGUCUUUCUGAGUUAAUUAAGAAAUUUAAUUUGCAGUUUGGUUAUAUAGAGCAGAGGGAAGCGAGGUUUUGAAAGGAUUUGGUUGUGUAGUGCAGGUGGGUGUUAAGUGUCACAUACUAGCAUUAACUAAUGCAGCUGAAACAGGACUAUAAAGUGGGAAAAAAUAGAGUAAAUAGGUGGUUACGUCUGAGUUUAAGCAAAAGUUUUAAGGGAAUAGCGAAAGGAAGGGAGAGACAUAUUUCAGGCUCCUGUGUAGUCAACUCAUACAGUGCAAGUAAGAGUAGUAAGAAAUAAAAGCGCUGGAUAAGACAUUGGGAGAUGGAAUGAAGAAACAGUACAUCAUAAAGGAGAAUUAAAGAUGGUCAUGGUCCAUAGCAUAAAAACUAACAAAGCAUAAGAUACAUAACACUAAACCAGUAAAGAAAACAUAUCCGGCAACGUCUGUUAAUGCUGCACCGAGUACCAGGACAUCGAGGAAUGUCAUCAUAUCUCCAAGUGUCGCAGUGGGAGCGAAUCUUAACGGGUCGCAUUUGAAGAAUGUGACGAAAGACUUUGCUACCAAUAGCAUCAGCUUCACGAAAUGAACCAAUGGAAGAAACAAAGGUGAUGCGUCACACGGUCACGGAAAUAGCCUUCGGGACGAUGGUACGGUCGGCGAUCGGUACGGACAGGGCCUUCGGUGACGGCGGUUACGGCGGUUACGGCGGUUACGACGGUUACGGGACGGCGAGGGAGGUUGACGAUGAGUAGCUCGAAUCGCCUAGACUCCAAAGAGAUGAUUUGCAAGGGUGGAUAGCGACAACCGGUGAGUAUCUCGAACCGGUGGUGACUGGAGAAGAGGGGUGUGAAGGCGGAACGAGGUAACGAUACACGAGAGAUGGUGGGCUCGUGAUACGGUUACACUUAGAGGCUUUGAAUCCGAUUCAAAGGCUCUAAGGAGCUCUCAAUGUUUUCGCAACAAAUGAGAAAAAGGAAAGAACUGAUUUUUAUUUCAAAAGAAGCUAACCCUUACAAGUGACUUAGAGGGCCUUUAUAUAGGCGUUUACAAGGGAGACUCAUAAAACCCUAAAGCAAACAGUCAAAGCGCGGGUCAACAAGGAUAGACGUGUCAAAAUACAAACCAUAAGACAAGAAGAGCCUAACGGCUUUAUUACGAAAGGAAGGAGAGAUGGCCACGUCAUGCGGAGAUGCGUGGUCAUGCGCUAGCGUACGUUGGCCUCGUUAAAACCCUCUUGGUAAACCACGUGGGAUAAACCCAAGUAGGGAAAAAGAGUACCACGUCCAACUAGUGACUUUGAUGCCUUCACCUAGUGAUGGUGAAGACGGUCCGGACAAGCUCAUGAUCGUCCGGAUGGUCGAGUCCAAUGGGGCCGUAUGGCCGUGGGUCGUGUACUUGGAUGAACUCUUCCGCGAAGGCAUUGCACUUGAUCCUGAGAUUGCGUGCAGCUCCCCUUGACCUUGUGACAGCUCCCGGAAGGAUUUGAGGUACCUUGGUCGCCGGUAGUAUCCCGUGGGUCGUUCCGGGUUGGUCCAUGUUCUGUCCCUCGUCCCGGCCCUCGUCCGGAUCGUUGUCCGUAUGCUGUCCGGUAGGUUGGGUCUCAUUAUCCCCUCCCCCUUGGGAAGGUUCUGACCUCAGAACUCCUUCAUCAUUCCCUACAUCAAAAGGAACCAAAUCAGAAACAUUGAAGGAAGUAGACGUGUUAUACGUACCGGGUAGCUCCAAGCGGUAGGCGUUGUCGUUGAUCCGCUCGAUGACUUGGAAAGGGCCAUCUCCUCUUGGGCUAAGCUUGUCCUUUCUACGUUGUGGGAACCGCUCCGGUCUUAAGUGUAACCAAACCCAAUCUCCCGGCUUGAAAAUCAUGGCCUUGCGGUGUUGGUUGGCUUUUCGCGCGUAUUGCUCGGUUCUUCUUUCUAGAUUUUCCCGGACUUCGGUGUGUAACUUCUUGAUCAGUUCGGCCUUGGCUAAUCCGUCUUGACAUUCUAUCUCAUUGGGUGGUAAGGGUAGCAAACUCGCGGGGGUUAAAGGUUUGAAUCCGUAGGCCACUUCAAAUGGAGACUUCUUCGUUGCCGAAUGAACGGACUGAUUGUAUGCGAACUCCAUAAGGGGAAGUAGCUCUAACCAAGUGCCCGGAUUGCUUGCCACGGUGGUCCGGAUCAAGGCGCCUAAGGUUCGGUUGAUGACCUCCGUUUGACCAUCCGUUUGAGGAUGACACGCGGUUGAGUAUAGUAGCUUAGUUCCCAUCUUUCUCCAUAAGGUCCUCCAAAAGUGACCAAGGAACUUGGGGUCUCGGUCCGACACGAUGCUACGGGGUAUUCCAUGGAGCCUCACAACUUCCCGAAAGAACAAGUUGGCUAAGGCCGUGGCGUCCGAUGUCUUGUUGCAAGGUAUAAAGUGAGCCAUUUUGGAAAAUCGGUCUACUACGACGAAAAUGGAGUCUUUGCGGUAUUGGAUAGGCAAUCCAAGCAAGAAAUCCAUAGAUAAAUCGACCCAUGGUGCAUUCGGAAUCGGUAGGGGCUUGUAGAGGCCAUGUGGCCGUGGGGUGGCCUUGGCGGUACGGCAAGUGAUGCAACGGCCUACGAACUUCUCGACCAUCCGCUUCAUCUUAGGCCAAUAGAAAUGUUCCUUUAAGACUUCCAAAGUCUUAGUAACCCCAAAAUGCCCGGUUAGGCCUCCUCCAUGUGACUCUUGCAUUAGUAGGGUCCUAAUAGAUCCGGCGGGUAUGCAAAGCCUUUUGUCCCGAAAGAGAAACCCGUCUUGGAUGUAGAACCGUGAGUGAAUUCCUUUGCCGUGAUCCCUAUAACUCUCCCCAAACUCCGGAUCUUCUUUGUAAACUUCCUUGAUCCCUUCAAAACCCAAAACCCUUGCCUCCAUGGUUGUGAUCAACGCGUGUCUUCUUGAUAGCGCGUCGGCUACAACAUUUUCUUUGCCCUUCUUGUACUUGAUAACGUAUGGGAAAGCCUCUAUAAACUCUAGCCACUUCGCGUGUCUCUUCUUCAAGUUGGUUUGGCCUCUAAGAUGUUUCAAGGUCUCAUGGUCCGUAUGGAUCACAAAUUCCCUCGGUAGUAGAUAAUGUUGCCAAGUCUCCAUAGCUCGGACCAAAGCGUAUAACUCCUUAUCAUAAGUCGGAUAGUUGAGGGUAGGGCCAUGUAACUUCUCACUAAAGUAGGCCACGGGUUUGCCUCCUUGGGUUAGGACCGCUCCAAUCCCGAUGCCGGACGCAUCACACUCUACUUCAAAGGUCUUCUCAAAACUUGGUAGAACUAGGAGAGGCGCUUGUGUUAAUCUCCUCUUUAGCUCUUGAAAUGACGCUUCUUGACUCGAUCCCCAAGUGAAUUCUUCACUCUUCUUAGUGAUGGCGGUAAGAGGUGCGGCUACAGUGCUAAAGUCCUUGACAAAACGCCGGUAGAAACUUGCUAACCCAUGAAAGCUUCUCACUUGACUAACGGUUGUCGGUGUAGGCCAUUCCUCUAUUGCUCGAAUUUUCUCUUGAUCCACUCUAAGGCCCUGCUCACUCACAACAAAACCUAGAAAAACUAGUUCAUUAGUACCAAAGACACACUUCUUGAAGUUAGCGUAUAGCUUUUCUUCUCGAAGUGUGACCAAGACCAUCUCUAGAUGGACCAAGUGAUCCUCUAGGCUACGGCUAUAGAUUAAAAUAUCAUCAAAAUAGACCACAACAAAUUUAUUAAUGAAAGGUCUAAGGAUGUGAUUCAUUAACCGCAUAAAGGUGGAUGGGGCGUUGGAGAGGCCAAAUGGCAUGACUAGCCAUUCGUAGAGUCCUUGCUUGGUCUUGAAAGCCGUUUUCCAUUCAUCACCCUCUUUCAUUCGGACUUGGUGGUAACCACUCUUGAGGUCAAUCUUGGUGAAAAUAAUGGCUCCAUCCAACUCAUCCAGCAUAUCGUCAAGCCUUGGGAUUGGAUAUCUAUACUUCACGGUUAUGUUGUUGAUGGCUCUACAAUCCACGCACAUUCGCCAUGUUCCAUCUUUCUUAGGUACUAGGAGAACUGGUACGGCACAAGGGCUAAGGCUCUCUCGGACAUAUCCUUGCUUCAUGAGAUCUCCCACUUGCUUCUCUAGUUCUUUAGCUUCGGUUGGGUUGACUCUAUAGGCGGGUCUAUUUGGCAAUUGAGCUCCCGGAAUAAGAUCUAUUUGAUGUUCAAUCCCUCGGAUAGGUGGCAAGCCAUGCGGUAGUUCUUCCGGAAACACAUCUUGAAAACGCUUGAUGAUGGCCUUAAUCUCCUCCGGAAUGUCCUUGCCUUCACAAUCUAUAGUCAAAACAUCUUUAAAGACCAUUAGUAACACUUGGCAAGAGGAGUCACAUAGUGAUCUCCUAACAUCACUAGAAUUAACCAAGAAAUUCGACUUAGAGCUAGGUUCACUAGUCAUUUUCGAUUGCAUUUCAUUGACUUGGGUGGGUGACAAAGGCUUUAAGCAAAUCCGUUUACUAUUAUGGAUAAAAGUAUACUCAUUGGUAAGGCCACAAUGCGAUGUCUUCUUAUCAAAUUGCCAAGGCCGACCCAACAAUAGGUGGCUAGCUUGCAUUGGGACAACAUCGCAUAAGACUUGGUCUUGGUAGGGGCCAACACUAAAAGAAACUAACACUUGUUCCGAGACUUGGAUUACGGAUUUGUUGUUCAACCAUUUAAGCUUAUAAGGUUUGGGAUGGCUUGUGGUAGCCAAAGAAAGUUUCUUGACCAUAUAAGAACUCGCAACAUUGGUGCAAGAGCCCCCAUCUAUGAUCAAGCCACAAACCUUCCCACUUACCAUGCACCGGGUGUGGAAGAUGUUGUCGCGUUGGUUGGAGUCGUCCAUGGCUUGGCUUGUGCUUAGCAUGCGGCGGAUCAUGAGAAGUUCUCCAACUUCCGGUUCGGCAAUGGCUUCCUCGAUCUCGGAGUCAAUGCCUUGGCCUUGUGGGGCGUCGUCUUCGUCUUGGGAUUCAUAGUCUCCGGCGGUGGUGAUGAUCAUGGUGCGUUGGUUGGGGCAGUCUCGGGCAUAAUGUCCUCGGCCUUGACACUUGAAGCAAAUGAUGUCUCGGGUCCUUGAGUCGGAAGGUUGAGGUCUUGGGUCGGGACGGUUGUCUUUGGUGGUCUCUCGGGGCUUGAAUCUUGUGUCGAUACGGGCGGCUUUGGGUUCGGUGGUACCUCGGUUGGUCUUGUCGGCUACUCGGUUGUUUCCAUGAGAUGGUGAGGCGUUGGGCGACCAACUUGGAAGUCCUUGUCCCUUGGUCCGGGUGGUGCUUGCAAUUUUCUUCUUGAUUUGUUGUUCUACUUGGAUGGCUAGGUGCAACAUCUCCUCAAACCCUUGGUAAGAUUGGCGUUCAACCUUCCUUGUGAUCCGGUCAUUCAAUCCGUCUAAGAAUUGGGCCAUCAAAGCCUCUUCGGUCUCUUCUAGUUGUAAACGGUUCCUCAAGUGCUCAAAGUCCUCAUAAUAUUCCUCAACGCUUUUUAUUCCUUGAGUGAGCUUCCUAAAUCGCCGUUGUAGGUCACGGCUAAAGUAUUGGGGAAUGUAUCGGCGUCUCAUGAUGGCCUUCAUUGCGUCCCAAGUGGCCACGGGUCUCUCGUGAUUACGUCGUCGGUCGUCGACGUCGCGGUCCCACCAAGUAAGGGCAUGGUCCGUGAAUUGAGCGGCGGCUAUAAUGACCUUUCGUAUCUCCGGGUAGUUGUAACAAGAGAAAACCUUGUCCAUUCGGCCUUCCCAUUGUAGGUAGGCCUCCGGAUCAACCUUUCCCGCAAAGGUUGGGACGGUAAGCUUGCAGGAGGGUCCGGUGAGAUUAGGACCCAUUGGUCGUUCAUUGUCCCGUCGGUUGUUUCUUCGUCUUGGAUAGUCGGGGUCUUCUUCAUCCGACGUGUGUCCCUCAACUUGACCUUGAUCUUGUUCUUGGUCGUCGACUGGUGGUAGUCUUUGGUCUCGGACCCGUCGUACAAGGGGCACGGGUGGUGGUAUAGCUUGCUCCAAGAGAUAAAGCCGAUCAUCGAUCCGUCCCAUUUGAGCUUGGAUUUGGGUCAGAAUGACUCCAAGGUCGGGUGGAGGAGCGGGUGCCAUAGGUGGGUCUUGUCCGGCCAUAGUACGGAUUCCGGUUCACCGGGAAAUGUCAGACGGCGGCGGGUGGUCGGAAAAUUGGUCGGAGUGAGUAACCGGCGAUGGUAGACUGGUAGAGGUCGGUGGCCGAUGGUCGGUGGUCGAUGGUGCGUAUGGUCGUUGGUCGAAGGUCGAUGGUACGUACGGUUGCUGUCGUGGUCCGUUUGGUCCGUACGGCUAGCGAGGUUUGUUCCACCUGUCCCAAACAAAGAACACGUGCGUUUUAAGGUUGCGAUAUGUUGAUAAGAUGGAAUCAAUUUCAAAAGAGGUGACAGCUCAUGAUUGGAGAGAGAACGGUCAAAAAGCAAAAGAAACAACCUAAGACCAAAACGAAAACGCUAGAGGACAAACGGUACGAAACCGUGUGACCCAAAACGAUACACGUGGUUUCAAGGCCACCAAACUAAAGCGAUAACACUAAGGAACAAAACAACUAAGGAUCUAACAGCCUAACAAGAUGAAAACACGGUGAAAAGCACGAUGAACACGAAGAACACGAAAAAAUCAAAACCGGCUAAAAACGAAAAGCAACUUCAACGAGUGGUUUUCAAGGCCACGAAACAAAAACCCGAAGCAAAACUCAAGCUUUUAACCCAAAGUGAUACUAAAACACAAAAAGACUAAGACUUUCUAAAAGAAACAAGAAGGGAAGGCGAAGAACACAAGGGAAGAAAACCUUUUUUUUUUUUUUUUUUUGAAAUGAAACAACAAUAAACAACACAAAGAGAACUAAGAAGGAUAGAUACAACCUUAGGAACCUUCGGCUCUGAUACCAAAAACUGAUGCGUCACACGGUCACGGAAAUAGCCUUCGGGACGAUGGUACGGUCGGCGAUCGGUACGGACAGGGCCUUCGGUGACGGCGGUUACGGCGGUUACGGCGGUUACGACGGUUACGGGACGGCGAGGGAGGUUGACGAUGAGUAGCUCGAAUCGCCUAGACUCCAAAGAGAUGAUUUGCAAGGGUGGAUAGCGACAACCGGUGAGUAUCUCGAACCGGUGGUGACUGGAGAAGAGGGGUGUGAAGGCGGAACGAGGUAACGACACACGAGAGAUGGUGGGCUCGUGAUACGGUUACACUUAGAGGCUUUGAAUCCGAUUCAAAGGCUCUAAGGAGCUCUCAAUGUUUUCGCAACAAAUGAGAAAAAGGAAAGAACUGAUUUUUAUUUCAAAAGAAGCUAACCCUUACAAGUGACUUAGAGGGCCUUUAUAUAGGCGUUUACAAGGGAGACUCAUAAAACCCUAAAGCAAACAGUCAAAGCGCGGGUCAACAAGGAUAGACGUGUCAAAAUACAAACCAUAAGACAAGAAGAGCCUAACGGCUUUAUUACGAAAGGAAGGAGAGAUGGCCACGUCAUGCGGAGAUGCGUGGUCAUGCGCUAGCGUACGUUGGCCUCGUUAAAACCCUCUUGGUAAACCACGUGGGAUAAACCCAAGUAGGGAAAAAGAGUACCACGUCCAACUAGUGACUUUGAUGCCUUCACCUAGUGAUGGUGAAGACGGUCCGGACAAGCUCAUGAUCGUCCGGAUGGUCGAGUCCAAUGGGGCCGUAUGGCCGUGGGUCGUGUACUUGGAUGAACUCUUCCGCGAAGGCAUUGCACUUGAUCCUGAGAUUGCGUGCAGCUCCCCUUGACCUUGUGACAGCUCCCGGAAGGAUUUGAGGUACCUUGGUCGCCGGUAGUAUCCCGUGGGUCGUUCCGGGUUGGUCCAUGUUCUGUCCCUCGUCCCGGCCCUCGUCCGGAUCGUUGUCCGUAUGCUGUCCGGUAGGUUGGGUCUCAUUAAAAGGAGUCAAUUGUGUCAAGUGACUCCGAGUAAAACCCCAGGCAAACCUGUAGCAAGGCUCGGGAAAACCAAGCAUGAGGUGGAUAGUUGCCUAUGGUGGAUAAGAGUUGUAGAGCGUCUUCUGCACGACCAAGUUUGACGGCAAGCCUAAUGCUUUCAAGAUAGGCUGCAGUUGCAUUGUGAGAGUCUAAACAUUGGCGAAAGAAAGGGCGAUACACCGAAUCUUCAUUUAUAAGGCCAGCAUCUGCUAGGAAGGGUUGUAGGCUUACAUGGUUGAGGACAGUGGAAUGAGUUGCAAGAGAAUAGUAGAAUUUGGAAGUCAGAAGCAUACCCCGGAGAGAUAUAAACGAAUCCGCCCCCACACGUGAAACAAUAUCAAGAGCAGUGUGUAUGUCAAGUUGUUCCAUAGGUGACGCAGGAACAAACAAUGAAAAAUGUGUAACUUAUGUAGGGAAAAAUCUGUAUCAAGUAGAUGGGAAGGCAUUUAUUGUGAUGGAAUUAGUGGGUGAGGAGGUAUGAAAUUAAUGAGCUGAAAUGAAAUUGUAAGUUUGUAGAAGUUAAUAGUUAAAGAAGUAAUGGUGUAUAAUAUCGUAAAGGGAGAAGAAGGUAGUGAUAAGGAAAUCUAGGAAUAAAGUAGCUAAUGUAACAACAACAGAAGGUACCAUAAGGAGAGCAAGUCAGUACAAGUAAUAGAAAGCGCGUUAUUCUUGGUUAACAUGCCGAGAGAUCAAUUAAAAGAUAAGAAAAACAAGUAGAUUAAACGCGGGACACAUAUUCUUCAUACAGAUCAAUGGCGUAGCGCAUUCGAAUGUUGUUAACAGUCUUCUUUGUAAGUUCUUGAAGGUGCGAUGUAAGCUGAUGUGAGUGAAGUUCAAUAAAUUUCAGAGACAUUGGACCACAGUCCCCACCACGGUCAUUCUGUGCGAGACCAAUCAUUCGCGUGAAGGUAAAGCCAGUGGCUGGCCAAGUGGAUGGAACAUCUUCACAAACAGAGCGAAGCAAACAAGGCAGCAUCUGAGCAAUAGGAGCCAUGUAGGAGGCAACCUUUCUAGCAGAGGUGCAAUCUUCAAACGGGUCAAGAAUGUCAAUAUGACCUUUGGGAAGGUCAAUGGCUAUUGCGACCCAAUGCCUCUUACCCCAAUUCAUAGGGAGGUAAAUAAUGUCUACAUCUUUGAGCCACUCCAACUUACAAGUGCGACCGUCAACCAGACCACAAACAUAAGCCGUCAACAGUGGGUGCCAUGCAUAUGUCAGUGUAUUGACGUGUUGGCUGAAAUUGACAAACUUAUUGUCCAUCAUUGAGGUGAACAUGGAGUCGAGGACAGUAAUGCGGCGUGUGGCGAGGAAAGCACCAUGUUUUUGCCAAAGAAAGCUGACAAUGCAGUCAAUGUGCUGUGAUGCAAGAAGUCAUAAAAUGAGAAGAGAUAUAAUAUAUGGGCUAUAAAAUAGAAGUAAGCAAAGUAGACAUGGAAGGUGCAAACUAACCAAGCUGGAAACCCAGUUCUGAGGUUUUGAUAGCUCAGUGAAGAAAGUAGAAGGGUAUGAGUGGCCAUUGAUAGUGUAUGAACUGCAUUGGAAAGAUGUGAGACAUGAGAAAUAAAGAAUAUUACAAAGAAACAUUUAGGUGAUAUAAAAUGAAGAGGUUAAGCACAAACCUCUUGCCCAUUUUAGAGAGCUUGCUGCGAAACUUGGAAACAGUAGCUGAAUUGGGGGUCCCAAGUGUACUUAGAAUGUAUGGAAUCAUUGCUUUGACAUCAGGGUGAUUGACAUUUUUUUUGCUACGCAGGUUCAUAGCAGGUCCACCCAACAGUAGCUGUUUUGUAGGAGGCGCAAUGGGAAGGCGAGGACACCGAUCCGUGACAACAGAAAGACCGGUUGCAGAAGGUACUUGCCCUAACAUGGCAGACACCCCAUCGGUUGCAGGACAUUGCGUAGCAGAUGAACAAGUUUGGCGGGUCACUCUUUGGGAUAUAUUCUUUAGAACGAAGACAGAAGGUUGAACUGGUGUUGGGUGAAUAAAACAUGAUUCCUCCUUAGAAUCAGGUUUACAGGCAUUAAGCUGACAUGCGUUCACCUGCAAAAGAUACAGAAGACAGAGAAGGAUGAUUAAUGUAACUGAGAAACGUGUUUUUGAAGUAGAUAUAAAAUAACCUGUGGCAUGGGUGAAGAAGGAGACAAAUAUGAAGCCAAAUGGGAGGGUAAGGUGGAGGUAUGGCUUCUGUGCUUGGCUGCUUCAUGUAGGAAUGAUGGGCGGCGUUGCUUAAUAUAAGAAAGAAUCAACUGUAAGUAGCGAAAAUGAGCAAAAGUGGCAAGAUCAAAGUGAGACACAGAAAGUAGAGAUAGAAAAAACCUGAACAAGUGGCUUUACAACAGGACAUGGAAGCACAACCGGACUAAUGGACUGAGAACCUGUAACUCCAGGAGCGUGGCUCCCAGUAACAGAGGGAGAAGAAACCUAAAAAAAAAACUGGUAAAAAUUUGGAAAUGUUGUUGUAAUGAAAGGUGCAAGAACCAUAGAAAGUAGGCUUAACCUCAGGAGGUAGAACAUCAGUGUCGAGAUGUUGAAAGUCUGUAAAACCUACAGCCUCCGGAUCCACCAUUGAUUCAAGGCAUUUACCAGGCGAUAAAACAGUAUGCGCAAAACCGACAGCAGGAUGACAGAUAGGUGAAUGUUUGGCAUUACUGGAUGACGAUCUUGUAUUGCUAGCAGAACGCUUGGAGAAUGAUCCCGCAGAUAGUCCAGCACAGCCAGAACGUGUAUUCCGGACAGGCGAAGAAGAUACUGCUGGUGAAACAAUAGAGGACUUGUUGACAGGAGGUACACCGCGCCUAGUACUCUGAUGACUGUGCUGAAUGAGGUGACUAAGCUCAACAAGCAGAGAUGCCUUGAAGCUUUUAAGAUGUUUCUCAAUAAGGGUAUCUGCAUUUCCGCGGAUCUUGACAGAAGAACGGUGGCCAACCCGCUUUUUUUGUUUACAAAAAUCUUCAGGACCCGAACUUGAACUUGCAGACCUGGAAGGAAUGGACUUACGUUUGCGGGAAGAGGUGAGUGACGGCAUAGAUGCAUCACCACCAGACCAGACAUCUUUUGUGAACUGAAACGAUGAUGCAAUAAGUCUCUCCAACUCCUUAACCUUGGGGUCACAAUGUUCAGAUGCUACAAAGGCAGGGUCAGGAUUUUGCGGGUGCAAAACACAAAGCUGCAAAGUAUAAAGAAUAUGAGGUGGUAUAACAGACAGAAAGAAAUAGAAGAAGGAAAUAGUCACAGAAUAAGAACGCACGUUACUCGAAUAUUCAAGACGUAAAAUGUUUGAAGUAUGGAAAGACUUGCACUUAGGGAGAUGAUGAAUGAUUCGGUCAAGGAAAGUAGACUGAUCCUCACCAUUGGGCAGGAUUGUGAGGAGCAAAGGAAUAUAUUUAAGAGCAAACAACUGAAUAGCAAGAGGAAAACCAUGGACAGCGACGGACGAUUGUUUCAGCUUGGCAACUAGCGAGUCUGCGUCUUCAAGAUAGCUUCCAACUUUAACCAUUCUAAGCAUCCUGUGAAAGGAGUGGCGACCCCAUGGGUAUUUGAGAAAGAAGUCUACAUCUUUGACCAUCUCAACAACUUCAGCUGAUGCCUUAACUGGUUGGCUCCGACAAAGCAAAACACCCUCUACAAUAACAAUAAGCGCUAGGCGGAAUUUACGCCAACUUGGCAUAUUUGGCUGAGUCUUCAACCUUUGGAGAAGUGCCUUCACAGUUACAGAACCAAGUUUACCACCAAUUAAAGUAUACCAAUACGGAGCACUACCCUCGGCAUGAGUUGUUGCAGCAUCGAGUUUUUCCUGCGAAGGAAAAGGACAACAUUCCAACCCAGUGGCUUCACGAAAUUCCGAUAGAGAAAAACGCAAAGGCUGACCCCCAAAAACAAACCACAUUUCGUCAGAGUUGGUGGUAUCCAGCUGCCUACAUAACAUCUGAUGGACCAAUUGGCCAGACAAUGAACAUCGCCUGACAGGCAGUAAGAAGAGGGACCCUAGCGGAGAUGCCAAUAAAGUGUCCAACUCAGGCAUUCCAUCGAGGAUAUGUAAAAUAUCAAUCAAGUACUUAGGUUUGGAAUAAGAGUUGAUACGGACUGCAUGACCAGGAUAGCAGUCAGCAGAAAAAACUCUAUCAGGAAGGAGUCCUACAACACCAAAAAGAAAAAGUAAACAACACAGGCAGUGGGUGUAAAUAUAUGAAAAAAACUUUACUAACAACAACUGCAGCUAUAUGAUGAUGAUAACCUUUAAAGCAACAACUUAAUUGAACACAAGAAGGCAACCCUAGUCUCAACAACAGAGGGAAACCAAAAUAGAUGUGUGGCAAGACGGGAAUAAGCAAUAUUUAGGAAAACAUAAGAAACAUGUGAAAUGGGGGAACUAAACCCUAAUCUCCACAGCUGAGGGGAACCCAAACACAGGUGUUUAACGAGUGGCAAGCGUCAGUAGGUGGAAAAUCAUAAAAAAACAUGUGAAAUGGGGGAACUAAACCCUAAUCCCCACAGCUGAGGGGAACCCAAACACAGGUGUUUAACGAGUGGCAAGCGUCAGUAGGUACAAAACCAUAAAAAAACAUGUAAAAUGGGGGAACUAGACCCUAAUCUCCACAGCUGAGGGGAACCCAAACACAGGUCUCUAACAAGUAGGAACCAUGAAGAGAUACAAAAACAUAAGAAAUAUGCAAACCUGGGGCACCGGCGUGAGAUGGUCCAGCUCCAAAUGAAUCCAUUUCAGACGGACAGGACCUGCACAUGCAAUUAAGCUCAGUUUCACCACAGACUAAGGUGUAUGUAUGUCCGGGAACAAUAUAUUUGGCUACCGCGACAGAGAGACUAUCAGAAAGAAAUUAGAAUAAGGACAAAGAAUUUCCAAGAAUUAGAUUCAACAGGCAAACGGCUGUACACAGAAAUUUCGCUUUCGAAGGACUAGAACAUGAUACAGAUUACUUCGAUAAGAACUACCAGCAACCAUAAAAAGGUUGGAAAUGGCGACCGCGGAGAAAAGGUACCACUGGAAUAACUAACCAAUUGCAACGGCGAGAGGAAUUUGGUACAGAGAGCUUCAGAAUGCCCUUUUUUUCUCACGGCCGUCGGAAAUAAAUUUGAAAUCGGAGCAGAGUCUCUGUUUUCUCGAACCUCGGAGAAGAAAGAGUAAAGCAGACGACACAAUAUGACUUCCUAUUAAAUGUUCGAGAAAUUGGAACAGUUACGUGUUGUUCGGUCUUCUCGGGCAGACGAGAGUGGGCAGGCGCAAUAAUGAAAAAGCGAGGGCAAAAUCGUGAAAUCGCAUGAGUAGAAAAGGGUAUAUCCACAAACUGUUCCAAAAAGGUCGAAACCAACAAAUGCCAUCCGGAAAAAUGGCUUUCUCGUAAUUGAUUCUAAAAAUAAAAUUUAGUAGUACAUAUGAAGUAUUUAGCUAUGUUUUGUGAAGUACUUAGCUAUGUUUCUCUAAAAAUGGCAUACUUGUUAUUGUUACCAAAUUUAAUAGCUUCAUAUCAAGUUUAACAUAUGCAAUAUAUUAAAAUGCCACUUGAGUUAUAUAAUUUGUAGUUUUAGAAUGGAUCGUAAUAAUUUUUUUGGAUGUAUUCUUUCCGGAAUAUUUAUUUUUUCAUGGCCUAUUAUUUAUUUUCAUUAUAUUUUCUGACAUUAGGGCCUAUUAUUAAUAUGAUAAAAUACAAAAAAAAAUUGAUGUGUCCCGAUUUUCAAUUGGACCAAAUCAUUAAGCCAGAUCAGAAAUUUGCGUUAAAAUAUGCCAAUCGUCUUAUACCUUCUGUAAUAUAUUUUCAUAUAAAUAAACUUCUCAACCUCCACACUUCUCUCACCCAUCACACAAUCCUCAAAACAGAGUAACCCAAAAAACAGAGCAAUCUCUAAAAAAAGUCUCAAGAAACCUCACUAAAAUGGGUUCAACGGCGGAGACACAAUUAACCCCGGUGCAAGUCACCGACGACGAAGCUGCCCUCUUCGCCAUGCAACUAGCCAGUGCCUCCGUUCUUCCGAUGGCUUUAAAAUCUGCUUUAGAGCUCGACCUUCUUGAGAUCAUGGCCAAGAACGGUUCUCCCAUGUCUCCGACCGAGAUCGCUUCUCAUCUCCCGACCAAAAACCCUGAAGCUCCGGUCAUGCUCGACCGUAUCCUCCGUCUUCUUACGUCUUACUCCGUUCUCACCUGCUCCAACCGUAAACUUUCCGGUGACGGCGUUGAACGGAUUUACGGGCUUGGUCCGGUUUGCAAGUAUUUGACCAAGAACGAAGAUGGUGUUUCGAUUGCUGCUCUUUGUCUUAUGAACCAAGACAAGGUUCUCAUGGAAAGCUGGUGAGUUUUCUUGAUAUGUGUUCUGACUUUUAAUAGAUCUUUAUGGUAAAUCAAGCUAGAAAAUUUCUGUUCUUGAUAAUGUUGUUUCAUAAGUUAUGCAUCUUGGUUGAUGUGAUUAAAAUACAAUUGUGCAAAGGUAAAGGUGAGAGAGAGAGGCACAAAGUGUUAAAGACAAUCAGACAAAUACAGAUAAAAAGACACGUAUAGUCUAAACCUGCUCUCUCCACUAAAAAACUAUAUUAUAUACAUUCUUUUAGUUAGUGGUUAAUUGGUUAUAACGAGCUGCUUAAAUGAAUUUUUUGUUUGUUACGGUGCCAAAAUUAUACAAAUAAUAAUGAGGAGAAAGUUCAAAAACAUUUAUGUUAGGUUGUUCCAAUCAUAAGAGCUAGAAGAAAACACUUAUUUUUAUUGCAGAAAAUACAUAUUUUUCCUUCUUUUUUUUGUCUAGUUCAUGGCUUUAAAUAGAGAAGCUGUAAUCGUUCUUCCUAGUAUUGAGUAACAAAAUAAGGAAAUAGAAUAGCAACAUGAUUAGGAAGAGAAUUGGUCUUCUGAUGAGCAACAAGAAAAUAAAAAUAGAAAACUUAUAAUCUGGUUUUGGUCGAACCGGGUGGUUCCCUUUGCAAACCAGCGGUUCUUUCUCAAACUAAACAAUCAACUUGACGUGGAUCUAGUUUAAUCACAAACUAGAGUUCAAUCUUCUGAAUUCUGAUCACUUUCAAAACAGAUUAUUAUAGUUAGUGAUAACCAAAAGUUGAUCUGGUUUAGAAUUUGAAGAGAAACUUAAAAAAUGUAAUGGUUAGGUAAUUAAUUGGAUUAAGCUUAAAGAGUGUAUGUGUGUUUUCUUAGACUCAUAAAGAGACAUGUUUCAGGUACCAUUUGAAGGAUGCAAUUCUUGAUGGUGGGAUUCCAUUCAACAAGGCUUAUGGAAUGAGCGCGUUUGAGUACCACGGAACUGACCCUAGAUUCAACAAGGUCUUUAACAAUGGAAUGUCUAACCAUUCCACAAUCACCAUGAAGAAGAUUCUUGAGACCUACAAGGGUUUCGAGGGCUUGACUUCUUUGGUUGAUGUUGGUGGUGGCAUUGGUGCUACUCUUAAAAUGAUUGUCUCCAAGUACCCUAACCUUAAAGGCAUCAACUUUGAUCUCCCACAUGUCAUCGAAGAUGCUCCUUCUCAUCCCGGUAUAUUAACAUUUUCCUAACGUUUCGCAAAAUCCGAUUUACUUGAAAGAUUUUCAUCUUAUUGCUUAAAUCAAUGUAGGUAUUGAGCAUGUUGGAGGAGAUAUGUUCGUAAGUGUCCCUAAAGGUGAUGCCAUAUUCAUGAAGGUUAGUAAAUAGUAAUUAACUAGGUUUUCUACUAAUUACUUAAACCGAAAACUCUUUGACACUUUCUGUCGAUUUCUCAUUGUUGCAACAGUGGAUAUGUCAUGACUGGAGCGACGAACAUUGCGUAAAAUUCUUGAAGAACUGCUACGAGGCGCUUCCAGAGGAUGGAAAAGUGAUAUUAGCAGAAUGUAUACUUCCAGAGACACCAGACUCAAGCCUCUCAACCAAACAAGUAGUCCAUGUCGAUUGCAUUAUGUUGGCUCACAAUCCCGGAGGCAAAGAACGAACCGAGAAAGAAUUCGAGGCAUUAGCCAAAGCAUCAGGCUUCAAGGGCAUCAAAGUUGUCUGCGACGCUUUUGGUGUUAACCUUAUUGAGUUGCUCAAGAAGCUCUAAAAGACCAAAAAAAUGUCCCUUUAAAGAUGAUUUUAUAUGUAAACAUUAUCUCAUAUCUACAUGGACGGCUAUAUCAUC